UGGAGGUGUGGUGGACUUGGAAAAAUGGGUCCCCUCUGCCAGUCCUAAGGUUCUAAGCUGCCCUUUGGGAGAUAAAAACACCCCAAGCCCCAGACCCUGGGCAGAGGAAGGCAUUGGGGCUGUAGAAGAGGACUGCUAUCACCGGUUCCAGGAAGGAGAGCUUGCUUGGAAUAAAGACAUGCAAGAUGGAAGCCCAGAAGCCUGAGGAGCAGGCAGUGUUUAUUGAGCACCUACUAUGUGUUAGUGGCAGACUCAGGGACAGAGAAGAGAGAAGCUGUUGGACUGUGUUUGUGGAGGGGCCGUGCCUUCUGGACUCAGCCUUUAUGUCCAGCUGAAUGGCCAGCGGGUUCCUCAGAGCCGCCCAUCAGAGCUGAAGAUCGUCUGGGUCUGGAGCUGGAGCUGGCAGUGGUCCUGUGGUCACUCUGGGGACUCUGGGAAGGACAGCCGUGCUUCCUGGGAGAGGCGACUCUAGACUCACCCAGGCCUGUGUCCCAUGUGAAGACACACAGGUGCGGGGAGGGGGGGUGCAUUGCAGCACUUGAAGGGCCAUCUCUCCCUUUCCUUAACUGCUGUGAAACACUGGAGCCAAGCUCCUGCAUUCUAGCACCUUCGUUUCUGGUCUUUAGGAAUGAACCCAUGGGCAACCUCUGCUGUGAAAAGGACAGGCUCUGCAGUUCAAUAGACUUAGGCUUGAAUCCUAGGGCCACCCCUCCUGCCUGUGCCUCAGCUUCCUUAUCUACUUGGUGGGGAUGAUCAAACCAGCUUCAAAGGGGGGCUGGGAGGUUUCCUGACAUCCUGGAUGAGAGAGACAUGCCUGGCAUGGACCUGACAUGCACCAGGUGCUGGGAACCUCUCUUCCUUCCUCCUUUUCCUCCAACCCACAUUUCUCUUGGUCUCUGCCCCAUGGCCUCCCUUCCCACCUGGACCUGCAUAGUAGAGAAGGGGGCACAAUGAGCCAAGAGUCUAGAACCCUGGGUCCUGAUUCUCACUUUGCCCUACUCUGCUGUAAGACCUCAGGCCAGUAUUUGCCCCUCUCUGGUUAGAUCAUCUCAAAGGCCCUCUCUCACAUUGGGUGUCCAGGUUGUGAA